UGGCACAAUGGUUAAAGCGUUUGCCUGCUAACCAAAAGGCUGGUGGUUUGAACCCACC
rnacentral:tRNA from 1 species